CAGUGUUUGGAGGUAGGGUUUCGGUGUGGAGAAAUUUUCACAGUAAUGCUCUCAGUGCUCCGGACUUAUUUUACAGCAAAAUGGUAACACAACAAACGGAAUAGGUUAAUUAAAUGUAGCAAUGAUAGAAGAGGACAACGACAGCAUUUAGCAGUAACCAGCAUACAAGUACUGUUGAAAACGAAUUAGGACGUACCCAGACACCCUCUCCGGCCGACUGAUUGAGUCUAGAAUAUUCGCGCCUAACAUAAACAGAUAAAGGGCCGGUAAAUAGUAUAAAGUUUAAGAUGGCAGCCACUAGGGAAAGGCGUGCCACUGCUGGCAAUAAGAUGGGGCGCAUGUUGGAUGCUGAGGAAGAAGAUGAUUUCUAUAAGACAACUUAUGGUGGCUUCAAUGAGGAAGAAGAUGAUAAAGUGUACAAUUCUGAAGAUUCUGAAUCUGAUCAGAUUGAUUCUGACUUCAGCAUUGAUGAAAAUGAUGAGGUCCGCAGUGAUGCUGAUGAUGAUGAUGCUCCCAAAAAACGUAAAGGGGUCUCCACCAAAGCCUACAAGGAACCUGUCAAAAAACUUAAAACCGAGGACAGGAAGCCAAAAGAGAAGAAAGAGAAAGAGAAAAAGAAAAAGACUACAUCAUCUGUUCAAAUUUAUCAUGCACCUAUUGAAAAGAAAUCUUUACGAAGAUCAACUGCAGUCAAAUCGAAUGCUCGAGAGGAACGAGAGAAGGUGCGGGAGAUGAAGCAGAAGAUGUUGAAGGACAUGGCACUACAGAAGAAGGUGGCUGAAGUGCGGAGGUUGACUCAGGAAGAACUACUGGCGGAGGCAGAGAUUACAGAGGAGCUCAACUUGCAGUCUUUAGAGAAUUACCAUCGUAUGGAGAUGGAGAAGAAGAAGAGUCGCGUGACCAAACAGAUAAACCGCGGACCUUUGAUCCGGUACCAGUCCUUCACAAUGCCGCUAAUUGAGGAACUGCCAUGUGAUGUGGAGAUCAGCGUGGAUGUAGACAGUAUUGAACCCCAGAAGAAGGUAGAAGAAUACGACCUUGUGAAUUGUGAAAAGUGCUCAAGGACGUUUGUAACAUUUACAGAUGAACGGAUAUUCAAGGACUACUUUCCACAGAAGAAACACAAACCACCAGUAAAACAGUAUUGCCCAGUGACCAAAAAACCAGCUAAAUACUUUGACCCCAUCACACAGACACCCUAUUCCUCCCUCAAGGCUUUCCACUGUAUCCGAGAGGCCUAUUCACAGCAGCAAGAGGAAACAGGGCACAAGAAGAAAUGAUUUUGUGUGUCUAAAUAUCUCAUGCUUACAUAACGGUUGAGAGAACAUAUUGUUUUGAUAAUGAAUAACGAAAGUCAUGUUACAAUGUUGACGUAUGCAUUGAAGUUUAUGAAUUGUAAACAAUUUCAUUGGCUGUCAGUUUUUUAUCGUGAAAGUGGUAGUGAUAUUUUCUAUUCAUCAGUCAGUCAGCUUACUAGUACAUCUGUUCAACAAGACUUAUGUAUUUGGUGCUAUGCUGAGGUCUUGGGCCAAGCUUUGUCAGUUGGUACAUCAAUAAACUAAUUAAGGUUUAUCAGUGGUAACCAUGCACCAAUUUCAUCAGAAAUUAUGACAACAAAAAAGAAAAUCCUAUUUGAUAUGCCUCAUCUAUGUAACAGCAUUUCUGAUUGGAUUAUAUUGAUCACAUGAUGGGGAAAUAAAACAUCAUGUUGCCCUCAAUAGUUCAAGUUCCUCAAGUCAUAUUUCCUUUAUUCAGGGCUUCUCUAGAAACUAGGCAAGAGCCACCACACCUGGGUUCCAAGUGACUGAAGCAGUCCACAGCAGUGGCACAUCAUCCUGCUCAUUUCUAGUGUUGUUAGGGUUCCAAGUGACUGAAGAAGUCCACAGCAGUGGCACAUCAUCCUGCUCAUCUCUAGUGUUGUUAGGGUUCCAAGUGACUGAAGCAGUCCACAGCAGUGGCACAUCGUCCUGCUCAUUUCUAGUGUUGUUGAGGUUACAAGUGACUGAAGCAGUCCACAGCAGUGGCACAUCAUCCUCCUGCUCAUCUCCAGUGUUGUUGAGGUUCCAAGUGACUGAAGCAGUCCACAGCAGCGCCACAUCAUCAUGCUCAUCUCCAGUGUUGUUAGGGUUCCAAGUGACUGAAGAAGUCCACAGCAGUGGCACAUCAUCCUGCUCAUCUCCAGUGUUGCUAGGGUUCCAAGUGACUGAAGCAGUCCACAGCAGCGGCACAUCAUCCUGCUCAACUCUAGUGUUGUUGAGGUUCCAAGUGACUGAAGCAGUCAACAGCAGUGGCACAUCAUCCUGCUCAUUUCUGGUGUUGUUAGGGUUCCAAGUGACUGAAGCAGUCCACAGCAUUGGCACAUCAACCUACUCAUCUCCAGUGUUGUUAGGGUUCCAAGUGACUGAAGCAGUCCACAGCAUUGGCACAUCAUCCUGCUCAUCUCCAGUGUUGCUAGGGUUCCAAGUGACUGAAGCAGUCCACAGCAGUGGCACAUAGUCCUGCUCAUUUCUAGUGUUGUUGAGGUUACAAGUGACUGAAGCAGUCCACAGCAGUAGCACAUCAUCCUGCUCAUCUCUAGUGUUGUUAGGGUUCCAAGUGCCUGAAGCAGUCCACAGCAUUGGCACAUCAACCUACUCAUCUCCAGUGUUGUUAGGGUUCCAAGUGACUGAAGAAGUCCACAGCAGUGGCACAUCAUCCUGCUCAUCUCUAGUGUUGUUAGGGUUCCAAGUGACUGAAGCAGUCCACAGCAUUGGCACAUCAACCUACUCAUCUCCAGUGUUGUUAGGGUUCCAAGUGACUGAAGCAAAGUUCUUUAAUUCCUGCUGAUGAAUCCUGUUUCAAAUAGGCUUUGUCCUUGUGACAUGAGAUUAAUGUUGGGGAAACAAAGAAUGAUAUUAAUUGCUUCAAAUAAAUGUAAAGUGUAGUUUAACUGCGGUUUUCUUUAUCAGGUGCCAGUAGUUAUAUAAUAUCAUUGUAAUGAGGGAUCAUCAGAAUGAUGUUUUACAUGAUAUUUGUUUUUUUAUUUGUACCCAGGUAUUUAUUUUUACAAUAUGUUCCUAAAAUACAUAAACUCUUUAUGGAUAUGAACAGUUUAUUGCUAUUGGUUUACCAGAUGGAUAACUUAUGUGAAAAAUAUCCACAAACCGCUCUGUAAAGGAAAGAAUUUCAUGAUAAUCUUGACUAUAGCAUUUCAGGAGUGAGAUAGGUACAUGUAUAUUUAAUUGGUUGCAGACAUCAAAAAUGGACCAAAUGCACGGCUAAUAGAGAGUGGUUCUUAAACUUUGAAGAUACUCUUUAAAUCAAAUUAGUUCAGUUUUACAUUUAUGCUGCAACACAAUCACUUUUAUCUGAAAUCAAAGCUUCUUUCAGAAAUGACAGGUAAUGCAUACUCCAUAAAUGCUUCCAGACUAGUUAACAUACAUCAUCGGCAAAAAGUCAUGCUAUACCAAGUUUUUGUUCUGUCAUGAGAAAAUCCAAGAGGCACAGAAGAAACAUAUGUUGACAGCGUAAGAAUGGAUUUCAAAGUUGAUGUAAGAUUUCCAGAGGUGAUUGCUUGUGAGUACAAGAAUACGAGAGCAUUUGUAAGGAGUUAUGUUAGUAAAACAUGGCACUGUAUAAAGAUGUGUGACUGAGAAAGUAGAAAUGAAAGGUAGAUAGAAAUUCUAUAUCUACCGUACUUGAUUGUUUGUUAUAAAUAAAAUUACCGAUCGUCAAA
rnacentral:misc_RNA from 1 species